rnacentral:rRNA from 1 species
AGAAGCAAUAAUGUUAAUAUGAGUAACAAGAAAUAAUUCUCCUAGCACAUGUGUAUAUCAGAACGAAUAACUCACUGAUAGUUACCAAAAAUAAAUAUAAUUAGCUAAUCAAGUUAUUACUAUGAAUUGGUAGUCCAACACAGGAGUGCAGUCAAGGAAAGAUCUAAAAGAAGUAAAAGGAACUCGGC